AACUUUUGGUGUAUGCACGUAUAUUUCGUCGUCGUUUCUUUCGUUGGUGAACGUACUUUUGCGCAGCUCCGUGUUUUUGUAUUCCCGUUGGUUUAUCACGAUCUCUAACUACAGCCGUUCGAUUCAACUUUGAACUUUCCAUUUGAUUUUUCUUUUCUUCGACAAUUUUUCUUCUCCCCUUUCUCUCUUCUAAACAGCUCCAACAACUGAAUCUGCAUCUGGAUUUGAAGCAAUUUCAAACAAUCAAUGGCGGAGACGAAGAAUUAAGUCACUACUUCGAUUAGAAGUUAAACACGAAGAUUCAAUGGAUGGAAUCAUGCGACCAUACUUAUCCAUUACCAGCAAGGAUGAAGAAGUGAUGUUAAAGCUAUGUAGCACGCUACACAAGUGUGAGCAUUGUUGAUCAACGAGAAAUGCAGGGGAGAACACAUUUGGUGGAGUUCGUCUUAGCAUGUUCACCACUGCAUGUUACAGUGUACAGAAUUUGCUUGCUGAGUAGUGUUGUGUACAUGAUGCUUACAAUAUGUGGCAACUGCUGGUUCUGCUACUGCUGCAGCAUUCGGCUUAAUCAUGUCAGGUCGCCUUUAGUGGUGCACGAGAAAUGUGUUCUGUUUUGGGCACUGCAGUUGAAUACCCACUCGGUUAGGCUCAUUUAGAGCUGCCAGAUAGGAGAGGAAAAGGGUGAGGUGAGGUGGGAUGGUGGGGAGCAUCAGAAGAUCAAAAUAACAGGUAAUCCCUAGAUUAUGUCUAGGAAAAGAAAUGAAAUGGAGAAGUGAAAAAAACUUGGCAACAUUUUGAACAAACAAUAUGGCUCAGACAACAUUACCCCCAAUGCAAAGUAAUCCCUAGAUUGUGAAAUCUAAGAGCCGAAUAGUGAUGACAGUUUCCUAUUCAUUUUAUCUAUUUUUCCAUUUGUGUCAUCCUAAUUUUAAUGGUUAUUUGUGUUACUUCUUUUAAGUUGCUAAUUUCUUCUA